GUUGCAUUUGAACUCCACUGCACGCCGUGCUGCUGUCCCCUCUUCGCCCGCUGCAGCCUCCCCUCCCUCAGGCCAGCGCUCUCUCCUUCGCGCUAGCUUUCCUCUCCCGCUCCCCCGACGAGUCCUCAACAAGUUGGAGGGAGGCAGGAGCGCAGGGGUUAAGCUCGGGAAGCUGCAAUUACCAAGAUCGUGACCCUCCCACACAGUACAGUAACUUAUAUACUUACCUAGAAGAGCCCACUUUGCCGCUGGGCAAACACCCGCGGAGGGGGGGGGAGUGAUAGGAGGGGAGCGGGCUGGCCAGAGAGGGCUGCUUCCAGACGGCUGAAGCACACAGCGAACCAAAGCAUUCCCAAGACUCCCGUACUCAGGUGGUCAAGCCUGUCCUGAUACUGAGUGGUUGGCAUGAGGGGUGACCACCCAAGGGAGGCAGUCUCAGAGCUUACAGAAGUGGAAAAGCCCGAAUGAAGGAUCUCAGGAGUCCUAGGAAUUUAGUUUUUUCCAUGGAAAGGAAAUUUGGGAAUUUGGUCGUUCUGCUGGAUCAAGCAAAUGAAGGAAUCGUCUGCAGCUGGUGCUGGACCUGAAGCUGUGGACCUGCCAGAAGAAGACGAGUUUCUUUGAUAAACUAGGUCUAUUUAGUCAAAAGUGUGUGAACAGCUGCCCAUCCCUGCUUGACCUUCAAAGGAGCUCUCAAGAUGGUGUGUUUCUAGAGCUAGACCAUGGAUAGCACUGUAGGGGUCCUUGUAGAAGAAGCUCUACUAAAGAGCUGAUUUCCUUGUGUGAAGAGUGAGGUUAUUGUGUUUGGAUGUAGUGAUGCACAGGAAAACGCUUGACAUGAAAAUGCAAUAUUCUUUACUUGUGGUGACAUUACUGCUUAAGUAAAUAAAAUAGUAACUUCUAAUUAAUUCUAAUGCUAAAGACUCUGUUUACUUUAAAUUAGUUGUUCUUCAUAGAACUUUUUUUUCCCAACUCACAACUUGACAACUGGAUGUAGAAUGGAAUCAAAGCUCAAUGUGUCCAUCCCCAAGAUGUAGCUCAGUUGACAGAGUGCUUGCCCUAGCAGAUGCAAAGUUUGCUUCCCAACACAGAGGAAAGUGCUUUCUUGGUACCCGCCUAGAAUUCAAGCACCCUGGAGCUGGAGGCAGGAGACAACCAGAAGUGCAAGUGUAGAGAAUUUGGAACCACCUGGGCUACAUGAAACCCUGCCAAAAACAAAAAAAAGCAAGACAGUGUUUUGAAUUGUGAUCAAAUGAAGAUCAGAUAGUACAGUGGAUGACAGGACUGUUAACAAGAGGUAAUGAAGGAUCUAGCUCUUGUCUCAAAGGUUUAGCUAUGAUGUUAUUCUUAAAAACUCCUGACCUCUGUGACAUUUUCUCUAAUUAUGAAAUUUUCUUUUGUACAACGAACUACUCCUAAUUUUGCUGUGAAAACUGGGUAUGAAUUUGUAGGUAUGUGUAUCAAGUUGUAGAAAAACUGCCAAUGAACUUCAAUGGAAAUCUGUGAUCUGUGUGUAUUACUACAUUACAGUGCUGUUAGUUCACAUUUUUUACAUUAAAGACUAUUCUCAGCUUUAAAUUUUAAAUAAAUGAUUCUGAAGUUCA